AUUGAACGCUGGCGGCAGGCCUAACACAUGCAAGUCGAGCGAGAGGCGGACGGGUGAGUAAUGUAUGGGGACUGCCCGAUAGAGGGGGAUAACUACUGGAAACGGUGGCUAAUACCGCAUACUAUCGGAUGAAACAUAUGGGAUUAGCUAGUAGGUGGGGUAAAGGCUCACCUAGGCGACGAUCUCUAGCUGGUCUGAGAGGAGGAGCAUCCCCACUGGGACUGAGACACGGCCCAGCCUCCUACGGAGGCAGCAGUGGGGAAUAUUGCACAAUGGGCGCAAUCCUGAUGCAGCCAUGCCGCGUGUAUGAAGAAGGCCUUAGGGUUGUAAAGUACUUUCGGCGGGGAGGCGUUACCCGCAGAAGAAGCACCGGCUAACUCCGUGCCAGCAGCCGCGGUAAUAC
rnacentral:rRNA from 1 species